AUGUAGGCAGUGGAUGUCUUCACUGGAGCACGAUGAUAAAGUUCCUCAUACAUGUGCAUUACAACUGUAGCUUUUUCCAUGGAUGAUAAGAUGUAGGCAGUGGAUGUCUUCACUGGAGCACGAUGAUAAAGUUCCUCAUACAUGUGCAUUACAACUGUAGCUUUUUCCAUGGAUGAUAAAGAUUUUUCACGAUGCCUUCACUGCCAUGCCCUAUACACUGCAGCACGAUGCAUCCACCACAGAAAAGAGUGCAUCAUCGGUUCAACAGCGCAAGAGCCCCUUUCUUCCAAAGCUCACGAUAUAAUAAUGAAUUUAUUUGAAUUAUAAGAGUCCAAUUCAUAUGCAAAAGUUUGAUUCAGGAACCUAAUAAUAUCCAAAUCAAAACAAGCUAAUACAUGCAUCACAAAUUCAUCUCCAUCCACAAAUUCUUGACAGAUAUAUAUAAAAAAUGGAAUGAGGCUCUUCACAAAAACUUGAACACUAAAAAACUAUAACUUAAACCCUUUCCAGAAGCUUGUCACAUAUGCCACUGCAUGUUCAGUACCUAAGUAGAGAGAUUGUAUAGCUCAAGAGCUCCUUAAAUCAUGUAUUGCCUCCACCAAGAGCUCUGCAAGUAACACCAGAGAAACAAGUUAGACACUUGUAUUGUAUACAUGAAAUAAACAUGUUUCCAUCUACUGUUCCUUGCACUUAAACACAAUAGCAAUAAUAGCAGCCAUGAUAAUGAUGUUUCUAUCAGUUUAGACUAAGAUAAAUGAAAUACACAACUAGCACCGCACAAGCAUAAGCUAGAUGGUGCUUUACUAGCAACCCUGAUGGCCACCAAGUUAUAAAAACCUAAAUCACUAGUAUGAAAAGCUAAAUGAAAAUUUAAAAAAGAAAAAGGAAAAAAAGUUACUACUACCUGAAUACUAAGCAGAGGACAACUGUAUGGGACUAAUCACUAUUCUACACUAAGAUCAACUAUAUGAUAACACAACAAAGAAACAUAGCAGCAUAACAAGGACUGCCAGAGUUACAAGACAUAUGGUAUGGUUCUAAUACAAACAUGAAAUUUCAGAUAGAAAACAGUAUAGUUAAAGCUCUAUUUGCAAACAUGAAGAAGAAAAAGGACCUAGAACCCAUGCAGCCAAUAGCAAGAUCGGCUUUGUUUGGACCUAGAACCCAUGAGCUAAUAGCAAGAUGGCAGCAAGCAGUACAGUUUAGAGGAAAGAUUAAGACCAGCUUAAUCAAUUCUGAAAGAAAAAACAACAGCUCACUGAACUGAAUUUUCUAAAGGUCCAACACUGAACUACAACUCUUAUCUGAAUUUUAUAAUGCUAGACCUGUACAGAACACCUCUCUAUGCCUUUUCUACUUGCCAUGAUCACACACACAAACUAGUGAUAUGUCAGCCUAGAAACAAUUAGGAAUUUUUUAAGACAAUGCAAAAGCAAAGCGACAAGGCACGAAUAAAAUUACAUGCUAAUUAUCCAGCUAACAAGAGCUCCAAACAACAUGUGACAUAUUAAACCAAGAGCUACAGUUAAGGCAUGCCAUAUAAAGCAAUGAGUAAAAUACACUGGCGGCCCUUUAACUUGUCAGCCUGUGCCACUUUGGUCCAUGAACUUGUAAACCCGAAAAAAUAACCCCUGAACUUGUCCGCCUGUGCCACUUUUGUCCAUGAACCUGCAAACGCAAAACAGUGGCCCC
rnacentral:lncRNA from 1 species